rnacentral:rRNA from 1 species
AUUGAACGCUGGCGGCAGGCCUAACACAUGCAAGUCGAGCGGACGAAGGGAGCUUGCUCCUGGAUUCAGCGGCGGACGGGCGAGUAAUGCCUAGGAAUCUGCCUGGUAGUUGGGGAUAACGUCCGGAAACGGGCGCUAAUACCGCAUACGUCCUGAGGGAGAAGGUGGGGGAUCUUCGGACCUCACGCUAUCAGAUGAGACUAGGUCGUAUUAGCUAGUUGGUGGGGUAAAGGCCUACCAAGGCGACGAUCCGUAACUGGUCUGAGAGGAUGAUCAGUCACACUGGAACUGAGACACGGUCCAGACUCCUACGGGAGGCAGCAGUGGGGAAUAUUGGACAAUGGGCGAAAGCCUGAUCCAGCCAUGCCGCGUGUGUGAAGAAGGUCUUCGGAUUGUAAAGCACUUUAAGUUGGGAGGAAGGGCAGUAAGUUAAUACCUUGCUGUUUUGACGUUACCAACAGAAUAAGCACCGGCUAACUUCGUG